UACGUAGGGUGCGAGCGUUAAUCGGAAUUACUGGGCGUAAAGCGUGCGCAGGCGGUUUUGUAAGCCAGACGUGAAAUCCCCGGGCUUAACCUGGGAAUGGCAUUUGGGACUGCAAGGCUAGAGUGCGGCAGAGGAGACUGGAAUUCCUGGUGUAGCAGUGAAAUGCGUAGAUAUCAGGAGGAAUACCGAUGGCGAAGGCAGGUCUCUGGGCUGACACUGACGCUCAUGCACGAAAGCGUGGGGAGCAAACAGG
rnacentral:rRNA from 1 species